CCUACGGGAGGCUGCAGUGGGGAAUAUUGCACAAUGGGCGCAAGCCUGAUGCAGCCAUGCCGCGUGUGUGAAGAAGGCCUUCGGGUUGUAAAGCACUUCCAGCGGGGAGGAAGGCGGUGAGGUUAAUAACCUCAUCGAUUGACGUUACCCGCAGAAGAAGCACCGGCCAACUCCGUGCCAGCAGCCGCGGUAAUACGGAGGGUGCAAGCGUUAAUCGGAAUUACUGGGCGUAAAGCGCACGCAGGCGGUCUGUCAAGUCGGAUGUGAAAUCCCCGGGCUCAACCUGGGAACUGCAUUCGAAACUGGCAGGCUAGAGUCUUGUAGAGGGGGGUAGAAUUCCAGGUGUAGCGGUGAAAUGCGUAGAGAUCUGGAGGAAUACAGGUGGCGAAGGCGGCCCCCUGGACAAAGACUGACGCUCAGGUGCGAAAGCGUGGGGAGCAAACAGGAUUAGAUACCCUAGUAGUC
rnacentral:rRNA from 1 species